rnacentral:rRNA from 1 species
UAGUCCACGCCGUAAACGAUGAGAGCUAGUUGUCUGCAAGCAUGCUUGUAGGUGACGCAGCUAACGCAUUAAGCUCUCCGCCUGGGGAGUACGGUCGCAAGAUUAAAACUCAAAGAAAUUGACGGGGGCCCGCACAAGCGGUGGGGCAUGUGGUUUAAUUCGAAGCAACGCGCAGAACCUUACCUACCCUUGACAUGCCGGUCGCGAUUUCCAGAGAUGGAUUUCUUCAAUUCGGUUGGACCGUGCACAGGUGCUGCAUGGCUGUCGUCAGCUCGUGUCGUGAGAUGUUGGGUUAAGUCCCGCAACGAGCGCAACCCUCAUCACUAGUUGCCAGCAUUACCUUCGGGUAGAUGGGGACUCUAGUGAGACUGCCGGCGUAAGCCGCGAGGAAGGUGGGGACGACGUCAAAUCAUCAUGGCCUUUAUGUCUAGGGCGACACACGUGCUACAAUGGUAGGGACAGAGGGUAGCUAAGCAGCGAUGUGGUGCUAA